rnacentral:miRNA from 1 species
CAUCGACAACUUUUGCCAUCCUUA